rnacentral:rRNA from 1 species
AUGAACCGUACUCUAACUGAUUUGGUUAACGCCAUGUUAGACACAUCGGGUCUCUCCAAGGCAUGGUGGGGGGAGGCGAUAUUGACAACAUGUCAUGUCCUAAAUCGAGUCCCCACAAAGAACAAAGAAAUAACUCCAUUCGAGGAAUGGGAGAAGAAAAGGUUAAAACUCUCUUAUCUGCGAACAUGGGGUUGUUUGGCGAAAGUCAAUGUACCAAUUCCAAAGAAGCGGAAGCUUGGACCAAAGACUGUGGAUUGUGUUUUCCUAGGAUAUGCUUUUCAUAGCAUUGGCUAUAGAUUCUUGGUUGUAAAAUCUGAGGUACCUGACAUGCAUGUCGGUACGAUCAUGGAGUCGAAUGAUGCGACUUUCUUUGAAGAUAUCUUUCCCAUGAAGGAUAUGGCUACCUCAUCUAAUCAGGAGAUGCCUAGUUCAUCGAAUCAGGAACCAGUUACAAUUACCGAACUUGCCAUUUUGAUGGAACACUUUGAAAAUCCUGUGGAGGAGAACAAUGAAGUUCCUACUAGAAGCAAGAGACAGAGGACAGCAAAGUCCUUUGGUGAUGAUUUUCUUGUGUAUCUCAUAGAUGAUACUCCCAGUUCUAUUUCGGAAGCCUAUGCAUCAGAAGAUGCUGACUACUGGAAGGAAGCGGUUAGUAGCGAGAUGGAUUCCAUCUUGGCGAAUGAAACUUGGGAGAUAAUUGAUCGUCCUUAUGGGUGCAAACCUAUAGGAUGCAAAUGGGUAUUCAAGAAGAAGCUUAGGCCUGAUGGUACUAUCGAAAAGUACAAGGCUCGGCUCGUGGCUAAGGGUUAUACCCAAAAGGAAGGUGAAGACUUCUUUGAUACUUACUCACCUGUGGCUCGACUGACCACUAUUCGAGUUCUACUUUCACUAGCUGCCUCACAUGGUCUUCUCGUUCAUCAAAUGGAUGUUAAGACUGCUUUCCUAAAUGGAGAGUUGGAUGAGGAAACUUAUAUGGAACAACCAGAUGGGUUUGUAAUAGAUGGUCAGGAAGGGAAAGUGUGCAAGUUGCUGAAGUCUUUGUAUGGACUCAAGCAAGCACCCAAACAGUGGCAUGAGAAGUUCAAAAGAACUUUAACAGCUGCAGGCUUUGUUGUGAAUGAUGCUGACAAAUGUGUGUACUAUCGCCAUGGUGGGGGCGAGGGAGUUAUGCUUUGUUUGUAUGUUGAUGACAUACUAAUUUUCGGAACAAAUAUGAAUGUUAUUAAGGAGGUCAAGGAUUUCCUAUCUCGCUGUUUUGAGAUGAAGGAUUUAGGAGUGGCUGAUGUCAUUCUGAACAUUAAGUUGUUGAGAGAUGAUGAUGGUGGGAUUACAUUGCUUCAAUCUCACUAUAUGGAAAAGAUUUGA